rnacentral:rRNA from 1 species
UACAGAGGGUGCAAGCGUUGUCCGGAAUCACUGGGCGUAAAGGGCGCGUAGGCGGCCUGAUAAGUCGGGGGUGAAAUUCUGCGGCUUAACCGCAGGACGGCCUUUCGAGACUGUCGGGCUUGAGCACGGUAGAGGCAGGUGGAAUUCCCGGUGUAGCGGUGGAAUGCGUAGAGAUCGGGAAGAACAUCGGUGGCGAAGGCGGCCUGCUGGGCCGUUGCUGACGCUGAGGCGCGACAGCGGUGGGGGAGCAAACAGG